rnacentral:miRNA from 1 species
UGGAAGGAUCGUUUUUCG